AGCGAACGCUGGCGGCAGGCCUAAUACAUGCAAGUCGAGCGCACCUUCGGGUGAACGGCGGACGGGUGAGUAACGCGUGGGAACGUGCCCUUUGGUACGGGAUAACUGAGGGAAACUUCAGCUAAUACCGUAUGUGCCCUACGGGGGAAAGAUUUAUCGCCAUUGGAGCGGCCCGCGUUGGAUUAGCUAGUUGGUGAGGUAAAGGCUCACCAAGGCUACGAUCCAUAGCUGGUCUGAGAGGAUGAUCAGCCACACUGGGACUGAGACACGGCCCAGACUCCUACGGGAGGCAGCAGUAGGGAAUCUUGCGCAAUGGGCGAAAGCCUGACGCAGCCAUGCCGCGUGAAUGAUGAAGGUCUUAGGAUUGUAAAAUUCUUUCACCGGGGAAGAUAAUGACGGUACCCGGAGAAGAAGCCCCGGCUAACUUCGUGCCAGCCGCCGCAGUAAGAC
rnacentral:rRNA from 1 species